rnacentral:rRNA from 1 species
AGCGAACGCUGGCGGCAGGCCUAACACAUGCAAGUCGAACGAACUCUUCGGAGUUAGUGGCGGACGGGUGCGUAACACGUGGGAACGUGCCUUUUGGUUCGGAAUAACUCAGGGAAACUUGUGCUAAUACCGAAUGUGCCCUUCGGGGGAAAGAUUUAUCGCCAUUAGAGCGGCCCGCGUCUGAUUAGCUAGUUGGUGAGGUAACGGCUCACCAAGGCGACGAUCAGUAGCUGGUCUGAGAGGAUGACCAGCCACACUGGGACUGAGACACGGCCCAGACUCCUACGGGAGGCAGCAGUGGGGAAUCUUGCGCAAUGGGCGAAAGCCUGACGAAGCCAUGCCGCGUGAAUGAUGAAGGUCUUAGGAUUGUAAAAUUCUUUCAACGGGGACGAUAAUGACGGUACCCGGAGAAGAAGCCCCGGCUAACUUCGUG